CAAUGGCCUUAGGACUCUUGUGUGGGGCUGGUCUUGGUUUCUAUGGAGCCUUGACAGGGCAGAAGUGGGCCCUAGUCUCAUAUAUCACCGCUAAUGUGAUCGGUCUGAUCACAAUGCUGACAGCAGGAGCCAUGUUUGCCAUAGUAAAAGUCCUGGUUACCUGCAUAGCUGAAAAUGAACAUUGUUCUCCUGGUUUUCCUCCAGCGUAUCUUCAAAUGAUAAACGCCACAAUAGGCCUGAGUUUCACCUUGGCUGUUUUGGAGGCCAAUGGAAUUGCCCUGGCUGCCGUGAUCAUACAUCAAGCAGCUUAAAAAUCCACAACUUGGGUGACAUCACCGUUGGCAAGACUCAGGAGCGGUGAGGAGGGUACAGAAGAUAAACCAUCAAGCUUCCUACUGCAGUACUAACGUGUGCAUGUACAACAAUAUCAA